rnacentral:lncRNA from 1 species
CGGAUUUCGGCAUUUCCUACCCAGUUUUCAAUAUUUUUAACAUUUUAAGCCCGUUUUUCAUCCUUUUAACGCGGGAUUUUCUCUAGAAAUCAUAUUAUAACAUAUAAGACCCUAAAUAUUUAUAAUAUAAACAUAUUUUGAUGGAAAUAUUUAUUUAAGAAUAAAAUCUAUUAAGUGAGAUCAUGAGGUGGAGUGUGGAUCUUGCCAUAAUAUUUGACACAAACAACAACCCCAUGCCCAUUACUUUGACCAGCUAUGGUCCUCCCCACCACUCCUAGUCACUUCAUGGUCCUUUUCCACUCAUUUUUCCAGCAAACUCUUACCCAAAGAGCUAGAUUUGAUGGAAAUAUUUAUUUAAGAAUAAAAUCUAUUAAGUGAGAUCAUGAGGUGGAGUGUGGAUCUUGCCAUAAUAUUUGACACAAACAACAACCCCAUGCCCAUUACUUUGACCAGCU